CGGCUGCUGAGCCAGCACGGGGCCAGGAAACACCCUUUGCCCACGCCGGUGAACGCCAGCGAGUGCCGGGCCUGGGGAAGGUCGCCCGCGAGAUAAGGGAUUCCUGCCGGGAGCCGGACCGAGGGUCAAGGGCAGCGGGUUCUGCCCGGCGUUCCCGGUGCUGCCGGCUCAGCGGCUUCUAAACCAGCCGGGGGACAGGGACGAGCCAACCGGGGAUGGCGGCGGCACGGGGACAAGGCUGGGGGACACCGUGAGAGCCGUCGCCGGCUGCGGCGGUGACGUAGACACCGGGUUGAGCUGUUUCGGUGGCGGCUCUCGGGGAGGAACCUUGCACCCAUGGAGGUGCGUGGGUUCACUGCCAGGUGCAGAAGUGAAACCCCGCGGCCAUGAGAAGCCGCACCAGACUUUCUUCUCCUCUCGGCAGUGCCGGAGCCGGGGUGGCGGCGGCAUGCCGACUGCGAGAGGGAGGGUGCCGGGGCUCAAUGUCGCAACCGGAGCCUCCGGCGCCCUCCGGACACUUUGUCCGUCUGCAUCGGGAAGAGAAAACAGUGGGAAGCCAGCGGCCAACAUCUUGCUAAGAGCCCUUCAGUUUCCAUCAGCGCAAAAAAUUCCCUCGCGUCAAAAAAAAACAAUAGAAAAAGAGGAAGCUGGGUGUUUCGGGGAGCUCAACUCCCCUUCCCCAUGCGUUUGGGAUGAGGUCACCAGGCUGACACUGCAGCAGCCGGCAACGUCUUAACCCACCCCCGGCCAGGCGACAGCGAGGUUAUGUGCCGGGGUGAUGGGAAAUCACGGUUUGGGUGCGUAAUGCUGAGCUCCCAUGAUUUGGGGGCGCAGGAGGGGACCCCCCUGGCUGCCCCCUCUCUCAGCUGGUGGUACCCAGCCCUGGCCCUGUAGCAGCUGGCAUGGCACUGGGGCUCAACCGUGG